AGUGAACGCUGGCGGUAGGCCUAACACAUGCAAGUCGAACGGCAGCACAGUAAGAGCUUGCUCUUACGGGUGGCGAGUGGCGGACGGGUGAGGAAUACAUCGGAAUCUACUUUUUCGUGGGGGAUAACGUGGGGAAACUUACGCUAAUACCGCAUACGACCUACAGGUGAAAGCAGGGGAUCUUCGGACCUUGCGCGAUUGAAUGAGCCGAUGUCGGAUUAGCUAGUUGGCGGGGUAAAGGCCCACCAAGGCGACGAUCCGUAGCUGGUCUGAGAGGAUGAUCAGCCACACUGGAACUGAGACACGGUCCAGACUCCUACGGGAGGCAGCAGUGGGGAAUAUUGGACAAUGGGCGCAAGCCUGAUCCAGCCAUACCGCGUGGGUGAAGAAGGCCUUCGGGUUGUAAAGCCCUUUUGUUGGGAAAGAAAAGCAGCAGGUUAAUACCCCGCUGUUCUGACGGUACCCAAAGAAUAAGCACCGGCUAACUUCGUG
rnacentral:rRNA from 1 species